UACGUAGGGUGCGAGCGUUGUCCGGAAUUAUUGGGCGUAAAGGGCUCGUAGGCGGUUUGUCGCGUCGGGAGUGAAAACCCAGGGCUUAACUCUGGGCUUGCUUUCGAUACGGGCAGACUAGAGGUAUGCAGGGGAGAACGGAAUUCCUGGUGUAGCGGUGAAAUGCGCAGAUAUCAGGAGGAACACCGGUGGCGAAGGCGGCCGACUGGGCUGCCACUGACGCUGGAGGCGCGAAAGCUCGGGGAGCGAACGGG
rnacentral:rRNA from 1 species